rnacentral:rRNA from 1 species
GACGAACGCUGGCGGCGUGCCUAACACAUGCAAGUCGAGCGCUGACGGAUUGUACUUGCGCCAACUGGGUGAGCAGCGAACGGGCGAGUAACGCGUGGGGCAUCUGCCUUUGAUCGGGGGACAACAUUUGGGAACGAAUGCUAAUACUGCAUCAAAACUUUAACCACAAGUAUUAAGUUUGAAUGAUACCAUUGCAUCACUCAUAGAUGGUUCUGCGGUGUAUUAGCUAGUUGGUGAGGUAAAGGCUCACCAAGGCGAAGAUACAUAGCCGACCUGAGUGGGUGAUCGGCCACAUUGGGAAUUGGACACGGGCCAAACUCCUUCGGGGAGCAGCAAGAGGGAAUCUUUGGACAAUGGCGGAAGGCUGACCGAACAACGACGCGGUGGGUAAGGAGGUUUUCGGGGCGGAAAAGUCCGUUUGUAGAGAAGAAAGAGGGUGAGGGUGGAAAGCUGAUGUAGUGACGGUAACUACCGAAAAAGCAACGGCUAACUACGUG